CCCCGCCGCGCCCGCGAGCCGCUGCUGGUCCCGCUGGCGCCGCCGCCCUAGCACACGCCUGUCUGGCCCGCGCCUGACGCACGCUAGACCUACUGAUACCAGUUUAUCCGCGGGCCGUACUCACAAGCGACCCACCUCUAGUGCAAUUAAUAUAAUUAACCGAACAUUUACUGACAAUGUACAAACAUACGAGUAUAUAACGAGUAUUAUGUGACAAAGUUUAACUUUGGAGCUAUCUUAAUAUGUAUAUAGUCAGAAAAAAAUGAAAUUUGAUUAUUGUGAACAUGAAUUUGGCUUACGAAAGUUAAUUCGGGCUCAAAACAAUAAAGAAUCCGCAAACUUUAAAAGCAAAACUGUUACAAUUGUGGGAAAGAGACAACACUACGCAUCUUAUUGCGCUGUCUUGCUCCCACAUAUGUAACAAUCUUGCUAUAGGCGUGAGUGGUGAUUAGGCCAAUGUCUAUUGUAUAAAUUCUAAAUUAAACCCGUAAUGUAUAAGUUUUAGGUAUCGGAAUUUUCAAAUUCGAGGAAAGUGUAAUGCGAUCUGUAUGUUUAUUUAAAGUAGUUAUCCCAUGCAUAAAAUGUAUUUUUUUUUAAGUUUUGUUUUGUUACAUCAAUUGAUUUAUAAUUAGUUGUAUAUAGCUACUGCUUAAACAAGACAAGUGGCAUUUCUACAAUUGUUAAAGAUGUCAAAAUCAGAAAUGAUGUUUAUUUUCUGCGAAUCAAAUUGCAUAGAUGUGAAUAAUGUGUAAUUUGAUAACAUUUGACCUAUUUGAUUUGUUAACGCUAAUAGAAAUUUUGUUCGGUGUUUCUCAAGAUGAUUUUUCGUCUUGCGUUUGAUAAAAAAAUUCAUGCAAGCACUUCCUUUGCAUACGCUAACUGCGUUAAACCACCAAAAGAAACAGCAUUUAUGUGCCGUUUCAGCAACAAAAAGUGUCUACGUUUGCGUCGUUCAGUCAGUAUUUUUUUGUACGUAAAGUAAAGAUGAUUUGCGGGGCAUUUCGCCCCGCAAAAAUUUCGCUUUGGCAAUACCACUAUUUAUUUCACUAGUAUUACACUACCCUCUAUGCUGUACUAAUAAAGUAUUGUGACAUUGAUGACUGUUAUCAUAAUAUAUUUGGCGGUUCUGAAUAAAAUGAGAGAUGACUGUGCAGGUCUCUUUAGUCAAUAAUAAAUCAUACACAUACUCGUGUCAAUAUAACAUUAUUGUAACAAGUGACUAUCAAAGAGGGAAUACUACCUUCUCCUGACAGAGGCCUGCAGCUGUGGAAGCGAGACGGCGUUCUAAACGGGGUAGUGUUGUUUCUUUUUUCACAUCUGCAGUCGUCUUUUAUGAGUUAGUGGUAGACCCCCUGAAAAUCUUGGUAUACAAAUAGUGUUGAUAUUAAAAGAAUAUGGUAAAAACUAAAGUAUAAAUACUGUUACAGGCUUAAUCUUUGUAGUCCUAAGGGUUAUGGCACACUGUACGGUAUGGUAACAGCAUGGCAAUUUGGUUGCCGCGACUGCAAGCUCGACAAACGCGCGCUAUCCAUGCGGUUUUGGAGCUGCCGUUACAGUGUACCAUGACCUUAAAGCCCAAAUUUAUUUAUGAUGGUGCUAACAACGUGCUUCAUUUUUUUGUAGAAAUGCUUAACAAUGUUCAAAUAGACUGGCCUAUAAAAUUGAUUAAAUUGACGACAAGAAACAAUAAAUGAAUUAACUUUA